rnacentral:lncRNA from 1 species
CUGCAAAGUGACUCAAAAGCCAUACAUUCCACUUCAGAAGAGCAGGUAUCCUAUUACUGUGGGCAUGACACAGGUCCAGGAUCUUCCUUCAGGCUCAGCUGUUCUAGCAGGGUCGGUUCCUCCUCUCAUCAACAGCACUCACUGCCAUCAGGAACACUUUUGGCUGGACUUUUUCCAGGUCAUAAUCCAAAACUCAUCAUGACUGCUUGGAAGAAGCUUAAACUAAAGGAUCAGUACAUGGAGACCAUGAUCGCAUUUCACAGAAAUUCCAGCACUCCAGAUCCAGAUUUUCAGAAGAGAAAGCUUUCUAACAGGCAUAUUUUUCAUUUCCAAACUUUCUA